UACGUAGGGCGCAAGCGUUAUCCGGAAUUAUUGGGCGUAAAGAGCUCGUAGGCGGUUUGUCGCGUCUGCCGUGAAAGUCCGGGGCUCAACUCCGGAUCUGCGGUGGGUACGGGCAGACUAGAGUGAUGUAGGGGAGACUGGAAUUCCUGGUGUAGCGGUGAAAUGCGCAGAUAUCAGGAGGAACACCGGUGGCGAAGGCGGGAUCCUGGGCCAGUACUGACGCUGAGGAGCGAAGGCGUGGGGAGCAAACAGG
rnacentral:rRNA from 1 species